GGCGGACGGGUGAGUAAACGCGUGAGCAACCUGCCUUUUAUCAAGGGGGAUAACGCAUCGAAAGAUGUGCUAAUACCGCGUAAGACCACAGCUUCACAUGGAGUGGGGGUCAAAGGAGCAAUCCGGAUAAAGAUGGGCUCGCGUCCGAUUAGCUAGUUGGUGAGAUAACAGCCCACCAAGGCGACGAUCGGUAGCCGACCUGAGAGGGUGAUCGGCCACAUUGGAACUGAGAGACGGUCCAGACUCCUACGGGAGGCAGCAGUGGGGAAUAUUGGGCAAUGGGCGAAAGCCUGACCCAGCAACGCCGCGUGAGGGAAGAAGGGUUUCGGCUCGUAAACCUCUGUCCUAUGGGACGAAGGAAGUGACGGUACCAUAGGAGGAAGCCCCGGCUAACUACGUGCCAGCAGCCGCGGUAAAACGUAGGGUGCAAGCGUUGUCCGGAAUUACUGGGUGUAAAGGGAGCGCAGGCGGACCGGCAAGUUGGAAGUGAAAACCAUGGGCUCAACCCAUGAAUUGCUUUCAAAACUGUUUUUCUUGAGUAGUGCAGAGGUAGAUGGAAUUCCCGGUGUAGCGGUGGAAUGCGUAGAUAUCGGGAGGAACACCAGUGGCGAAGGCGGUCUACUGGGCACCAACUGACGCUGAGGCUCGAAAGCAUGGGUAGCAAACAGGAUUAGAUACCCUGGUAGUCCAUGCCGUAAACGAUGAUUACUAGGUGUUGGGGGAUUGACCCCCUCAGUGCCGCAGUUAACACAAUAAGUAAUCCACCUGGGGAGUACGACCGCAAGGUUGAAACUCAAAGGAAUUGACGGGGGCCCGCACAAGCAGUGGAGUAUGUGGUUUAAUUCGAAGCAACGCGAAGAACCUUACCAGGGCUUGACAUCCAACUAACGAGGUAGAGAUACGUUAGGUGCCCUUCGGGGAAAGUUGAGACAGGUGGUGCAUGGUUGUCGUCAGCUCGUGUCGUGAGAUGUUGGGUUAAGUCCCGCAACGAGCGCAACCCUUAUUGCCAGUUACUACGUUAAGAGGACUCUGGCGAGACUGCCGUUGACAAAACGGAGGAAGGUGGGGAUGACGUCAAAUCAUCAUGCCCUUUAUGACCUGGGCUACACACGUACUACAAUGGCGUUAAACAAAGAGAAGCAAGACCGCGAGGUGGAGCAAAACUCAAAAACAACGUCUCAGUUCAGAUUGCAGGCUGCAACUCGCCUGCAUGAAGUCGGAAUUGCUAGUAAUCGCGGAUCAGCAUGCCGCGGUGAAUACGUUCCCGGGCCUUGCACUCACCGCCCGUCA
rnacentral:rRNA from 1 species